rnacentral:rRNA from 1 species
GACGAACCGUGCGAACGUUAUUCGGAAUCACUGGGCUUAAAGCGCGUGUAGGCGGGACGGCACGUCGGUCGCUGAAAGCCCCCGGCUCAACCGGGGAACGGGCGCCGAUGACGACCGCCCUGGAGGGACGUAGGGGGACCUGGAACAUCCGGUGGAGCGGUGAAAUGCGUUGAGAUCGGAUGGAACGCCCGUGGCGAAAGCGAGGUCCUGGACGUUUUCGUGACGCUGAGACGCGAAAGCCAGGGGAGCGAACGGG